rnacentral:rRNA from 1 species
UCCAGACUCCUACGGGAGGCAGCAGUGGGGGAUAUUGCACAAUGGGGGAAACCCUGAUGCAGCGACGCCGCGUGAGUGAAGAAGUAUUUCGGUAUGUAAAGCUCUAUCAGCAGGGAAGAAAAAAGACGGUACCUGACUAAGAAGCCCCGGCUAACUACGUGCCAGCAGCCGCGGUAAUACGUAGGGGGCAAGCGUUAUCCGGAUUUACUGGGUGUAAAGGGAGCGUAGACGGCAAUACAAGUCGGAAGUGAAAUACCCGGGCUCAACCUGGGAACUGCUUUGGAAACUGUAUGGCUGGAGUGCUGGAGAGGUAAGCGGAAUUCCUAGUGUAGCGGUGAAAUGCGUAGAUAUUAGGAGGAACACCAGUGGCGAAGGCGGCUUACUGGACAGUAACUGACGUUGAGGCUCGAAAGCGUGGGGAGCAAACAGGAUUAGAUACCCUCGUA